UGAACGCUGGCGGCAGGCUUAACACAUGCAAGUCGAGCGGGGUGAUGGUGCUUGCACUAUCACUUAGCGGCGGACGGGUGAGUAAUACUUAGGAAUCUGCCUAUUAAUGGGGGACAACAUCUCGAAAGGGAUGCUAAUACCGCAUACGCCCUACGGGGGAAAGCAGGGGAUCACUUGUGACCUUGCGUUAAUAGAUGAGCCUAAGUCGGAUUAGCUAGUUGGUGGGGUAAAGGCCUACCAAGGCGACGAUCUGUAGCGGGUCUGAGAGGAUGAUCCGCCACACUGGGACUGAGACACGGCCCAGACUCCUACGGGAGGCAGCAGUGGGGAAUAUUGGACAAUGGGGGGAACCCUGAUCCAGCCAUGCCGCGUGUGUGAAGAAGGCCUUAUGGUUGUAAAGCACUUUAAGCGAGGAGGAGGAGCUCUAGGCUAAUAUCCUAGAUGCUUGGACGUUACUCGCAGAAUAAGCACCGGCUAACUCUGUGCCAGCAGCCGCGGUAAUAC
rnacentral:rRNA from 1 species